AGAAAUCGGGAUUCCCUUCGGGGCUCUCAGCAAGGUGCUGCAUGGUUGUCGUCAGCUCGUGCCGUGAGGUGUCGGGUUAAGUCCCAUAACGAGCGCAACCCUUAUCGUUAGUUGCCAGCGGGUAAUGCCGGGAACUCUAGCGAAACUGCCGGUGUAAACCGAGAGGAAGGUGGGGAUGACGUCAAAUCAGCACGGCCCUUAUGUCCAGGGCCACACACGUGUUACAAUGGCCGGUACAGAGGGCAGCUACCUGGAGACAGGAUGCGAAUCUCCAAAGCCGGUCUCAGUUCGGAUCGGAGUCUGCAACUCGACUCCGUGAAGCUGGAUUCGCUAGUAAUCGCGCAUCAGCCAUGGCGCGGUGAAUACGUUCCCGGGCCUUGUACACACCGCCCGUCAAGCCAUGGAAGUUGGGGGUACCUGAAGUCCGUAACCGCAAGGAGCGGCCUAGGGUAAAACCAGUGACUGGGGCUAAGUCGUAACAAGGUAGCCGUACCGGAAGG
rnacentral:rRNA from 1 species